rnacentral:snoRNA from 1 species
AUUCCAUGAUGAGGACAGGCGGCGACAUCUUCCUGCAGUCUUUCCCACGCUUCGGGGAUCAUCUCAUCUCUUGUUUGCUAGAAGUUGGAUAUCCUUCCACGAAGGGC